rnacentral:rRNA from 1 species
UCCUACGGGGCGCAGCAGUGGGGAAUAUUGCACAAUGGGGGAAACCCUGAUGCAGCGACGCCGCGUGAGUGAAGAAGUAUUUCGGUAUGUAAAGCUCUAUCAGCAGGGAAGAAACCCACCCUUUGGGGUGGCUGACGGUACCUGACUAAGAAGCCCCGGCUAACUACGUGCCAGCAGCCGCGGUAAUACGUAGGGGGCGAGCGUUAUCCGGAUUUAUUGGGCGUAAAGGGUGUGCAGGCGGUAUGUUAAGUCUAAAAUCAAAGCCCGAGGCUUAACCUCGGUUCGUUUUAGAAACUGGCAAACUA